rnacentral:rRNA from 1 species
UACGGAGGGGGCAAGCGUUAUUCGGAAUUAUUGGGCGUAAAGGGCGCGUAGGCGGCUAGAUGUGUCAAAGGUGAAAUCCCUCGGCUCAACUGAGGAACUGCCUUUGAAACUGUCUGGCUUGAGGACGGAAGAGGGGCGUGGAAUUCCUGGUGUAGCGGUGAAAUGCGUAGAGAUCAGGAGGAACACCCGUGGCGAAGGCGGCGCCCUGGUCCGUUACUGACGCUGAGACGCGAAAGCGCGGGGAGCGAACGGG